CAGCACCUCAAGUGGUCAGGAUGAUUAUUGGGCCUAAAGCAUCCGUAGCCGGCGCUGUAAGUUUUCGGUUAAAUCUGUGCGCUCAACGUACAGGCUGCCGGGAAUACUGCAGAGCUAGGGAGUGGGAGAGGUAGACGGUACUCGGUAGGAAGGGGUAAAAUCCUUUGAUCUAUUGAUGACCACCUGUGGCGAAGGCGGUCUACCAGAACACGUCCGACGGUGAGGGAUGAAAGCUGGGGGAGCAAACCGGAUUAGAUACCCGAGUAGUCC
rnacentral:rRNA from 1 species